AGAGUUUGAUCCUGGCUCAGAUUGAACGCUGGCGGCAGGCCUAACACAUGCAAGUCGAGCGGAUGAAGGGAGCUUGCUUCUGGAUUUAGCGGCGGACGGGUGAGGAAUACGCAGGAAUCUACCUAGUAGUGGGGGAUAACGUAGGGAAACUUACGCUAAUACCGCAUACGACCUACGGGUGAAAGCAGGGGACCUUCGGGCCCUGCGCUAUUAGAUGAGCCUGCGUCGGAUUAGCUAGUUGGUGGGGUAAAGGCCUACCAAGGCGACGAUCCGUAGCUGGUCUGAGAGGACGAUCAGCCACACUGGGACUGAGACACGGCCCAGACUCCUACGGGAGGCAGCAGUGGGGAAUUUUGGACAAUGGGCGCAAGCCUGAUCCAGCAAUGCCGCGUGCAGGAUGAAGGCCUUCGGGUUGUAAACUGCUUUUGUACGGAACGAAAAGCUCUGGGCUAAUACCUUGGAGUCAUGACGGUACCGUAAGAAUAAGCACCGGCUAACUACGUGCCAGCAGCCGCGGUAAUACGUAGGGUGCAAGCGUUAAUCGGAAUUACUGGGCGUAAAGCGUGCGCAGGCGGUUUUGUAAGACAGUGGUGAAAUCCCCGGGCUCAACCUGGGAACUGCCAUUGUGACUGCAAGGCUAGAGUGCGGCAGAGGGGGAUGGAAUUCCGCGUGUAGCAGUGAAAUGCGUAGAUAUGCGGAGGAACACCGAUGGCGAAGGCAAUCCCCUGGGCCUGCACUGACGCUCAUGCACGAAAGCGUGGGGAGCAAACCAGGAUUAGAUACCCUGGUAGUCCACGCCCUAAACGA
rnacentral:rRNA from 1 species